UCAAAAGUUUCAUUUAAUUUGGCUACUUCAAUCAUCACAAGUUUUUUGAAUUGGCUACUUUGCGAUCAUGUUGAGAUUUUCGUACGCCCUCCAGAUCAUCAUUCUCAAAAGUUUCAUCUAAUUUGGCUAUUUUAAUCAAGCAAAGAACGUCGUGGCCGCAACCUUGAUGAGUUCCAGUGCAUGGAGCUUCGCAAUCUAAAAGAGCUAGAUCUUCAAGGCUUGCCAAAUCUAAUUAGCAUUUUCUCAGAGAAUUAUUAUUCAAGAUGCUGUUCUUUGGUGAGCUUGAUAUUGGUUAGUUGUCCAAGGUUAAAGAUGAAGUCAUUAGGUGGUCAACUUGUUGGUCGUGCUA